rnacentral:rRNA from 1 species
GACGAACGCUGGCGGCGUGCCUAAUACAUGCAAGUCGAGCGGACCUCUUCGGAGGUCAGCGGCGGACGGGUGAGUAACACGUGGGCAACCUGCCUGUAAGACUGGGAUAACUCCGGGAAACCGGAGCUAAUACCGGAUACUAUGUCAAACCGCAUGGUUUGACAUUCAAAGACGGUUUCGGCUGUCACUUACAGAUGGGCCCGCGGCGCAUUAGCUAGUUGGUGAGGUAAUGGCUCACCAAGGCGACGAUUCGUAGCCGACCUGAGAGGGUGAUCGGCCACACUGGGACUGAGACACGGCCGAGACUCCUACGGGAGGGAGCAGUAGGGAAUCUUCCGCAAUGGACGAAAGUCUGACGGAGCAACGCCGCGUGAGUGAUGAAGGUUUUCGGAUCGUAAAACUCUGUUGUCAGGGAAGAACAAGUGCCGGAGUAACUGCCGGCACCUUGACGGUACCUGACCAGAAAGCCACGGUUAACUACGUGCCAGCCACCGCCGUAACAC